rnacentral:rRNA from 1 species
UGGGGAAUAUUGCACAAUGGGCGCAAGCCUGAUGCAGCCAUGCCGCGUGUAUGAAGAAGGCCUUCGGGUUGUAAAGUACUUUCAGCGAGGAGGAAGGCGUUGUGGUUAAUAACCGCAACGAUUGACGUUACUCGCAGAAGAAGCACUGGCUAACUCCGUGCCAGAAGCCGCGGUAAUACGGAGGGGGCAAGCGUUAAUCGGAAUUACUGGGCGUAAAGCGCACGCAGGCGGUCUGUCAAGUCGGAUGUGAAAUCCCCGGGCUCAACCUGGGAACUGCAUCCGAAACUGGCAGGCUAGAGUCUUGUAGAGGGGGGUAGAAUUCCAGGUGUAGCGGUGAAAUGCGUAGAGAUCUGGAGGAAUACCGGUGGCGAAGGCGGCCCCCUGGACAAAGACUGACGCUCAGGUGCGAAAGCGUGGGGAGCAAACA